rnacentral:rRNA from 1 species
AUGCCGUUCGCCGGCGUAUCUGUCAUCUCUGAUGGUAAGCUGCAAUCUGCAUCAGUCGUCGUCUGCGGCGCGGCCAGCGGCUACCAUCUGUUCAUUGUGGAUGGCUACUCACGCAUCAAGGAGAACACACCCAACGGGAAGAGCAUCAAGUCUAGGCCUUUUAGGGUGGGAGGCUACUGGUGGGUCAUCCUGUACUCGCCCAACGGCGAGCGCACCCAAGACGUGGGCCACGCUUCUAUUACCCUCGCUCUCGAUCAGGAUGUUUCGCGCCAUGUCAAGGUGCAGUUUGAGUUCAGUUUCAUCGACCAGAUCGACAAGCAGAAGUCGUCACGCAUUCGCUCAUCUGAAGUAGCCUCUCUUUCGACUGGCACCUCGUGUGGCCAUCAUAGGUGGAUGAACAGCGGGGACUUUGAGGCGUCGAGACAUCUCAGGGAUGACAGUUUCAUCAUCCGGUGCGAUGUGUUUGUUGCGACCGCCGUCGGUAGCAUUGCUCCCACCUCGACCAUUGAGGUGCCCAAGCCGGACGUACUCCGGCAAUUCGGAGAUCUUCUUCAAACCAAGUUGGGUGCGGACGUGACGUUCGAGGUCGGUGGCGAGACGUUUGACGCGCAUCGGUGUGUGCUUGCAACUCGGUCCUCGGUCUUCAGGGCGCAGCUCUUUGGCUCCAUGAUGGAGGGUACUACUAGUGUCAUACACAUAGAAGAUAUGGCACCAAGUGUGUUCAGGGCCUUGCUAACUUUCAUCUACAAUGACUCGCUGCCCAAGAAAGAAUAUGAUGAAGAGGACGAACAAGUAACGUGGCUGCAACACUUGCUUGUAGCGGCGGAUAGGUACGAUCUCCCAAAACUCAAGUUGAUGUGCGAAGACGAGUUGUGUAAGCACCUAGACAUGAGCUCGGUGGCGACUAUUCUUGAUCUAGCCGAGCAGUACCAUUGUUCUCGCCUGAAGGAGGAGUGCGUGCAGUUUGCGCGACUCCUGCCUCCCGCAAAGUUACAAAUCUUAUUGUCGACCAAAGGCUGGAAGCAUAUAGCUAAAACCUAUCCGGAUGUUGUGAACGAGCUCAUAGUAAAGCUUGCUUCCAAAUUCUACUGA